rnacentral:piRNA from 1 species
UAGUAGGAAGAAUUCAGCUCUAAAAAGA